UACGUAGGGGGCAAGCGUUGUCCGGAAUCACUGGGCGUAAAGCGCGCGCAGGCGGUCUUUCACGUCCGGGGUGAAAGCCCAGAGCUCAACUCUGGGAUUGCCUUGGAUACGGGGAGACUUGAGGAUCGGAGAGGCAAGGGGGAAUUCCACGUGUAGCGGUGAAAUGCGUAGAGAUGUGGAGGAACACCUGUGGCGAAGGCGCCUUGCUGGCCGAUUUCUGACGCUGGAGGCGCGAAAGCGUGGGGAGCAAACAGG
rnacentral:rRNA from 1 species